rnacentral:lncRNA from 1 species
CCAUCAUGUAAUCUGUUUUAAUUGCCAUGUCAAAGAUUAUUUUAUGCUCAGUGAUAUAAUAAUGUUAGAACUAUAGGAAAUAAUAAUCAAAUAUAUAUUUUUGUCUUUGUAAAUUCAUGAUGUCCUUUACCAUAUACCACUCACUGCUGGCAAUGAGAUGUAGGCCAUUCAUGGCUUUUAAUGUUAUGUUUUAUUAGUUACCAGCACUUUUUAUUUAGGUGGCAGAAAACUGGUUUUGUGGUUAAGAUGGGGUUUGUUCUUUAGUAUAUUUUGUUUAUUGCUGUGCUUUAAAUAUAGUACCGACUAAGCCCAAAAUAUUUCACUAUUUCAAAAUGGGUAUUAAAACUGUUGCUCUUGCAUAUUCCACAGCAAGCACCUGAACGUCCCUUCUUCCUGUACCUGUGUUACAGCUUCCUGCCUCUGCCCUGCGGUUCUGCUGACUUCUUUCAGAUUGUUAGAAAAGCUGGUCUGAGUUGCUAAAUAAUGGACUUGUAGUAGCCCAUGUUUUCAAAAAUCUAUGGGUUAAACAGUUAUUUUAAAGCAGUUGAUAAUUUUUAAAGGAAUAUGUACUGAUUCUUUCAUUGCAAAGCAGUAGUAUUGAGGGGUUGGCUUGAGGCUAUGUUUUGAGACAGGAUCUUGGUUUGUAGUUCUGGCUGGCUUCGAACUCACUAUGUAGCCCAGGCUGGCUUCAAUUCAUGGCAGUCCUCCUGCCUCAGCCUCUUGAGUGCUGGGGUUACAGGUGUGUGCCACGCAUUCAAAAAAGCAUUUUAGACUUUGAUGUCUCCCACAUCAAUGUUAAAGCAAACCUGUUACUGUUAGAUAGUUCUUUGCUCUGAUUAACAGUGAGUUCUUUUGGUAUGACUAUCUGUUGAUUUUUAAAACACAAAUAUGGAGAGUUUAUUGUACUCAGUACAUUUUUUAUAAAGAUUUUUGCAGUGGAAGAGAAGCUGAAAUUUUUGGGAGAGUGUAGAUUUUACCAAUGACUACUUUAUAGUUGUUUUUUAGAAAAGUGUCAACAUUUUUUUAAAGUAUCAACUUAGUCUUUAACAGCUUAUUGAGUAAAAUUUCUUUCCCAGUUUAAAUCAUGAUUUUUGUCAAGAGCUUUAUUUAUAAUUCUCAGCUGGAGAAAACUACACUUAGUGUAAAACACUCACAUGAAAAAGUCAGGGUCGUACCUUUAUAAACCCCUGGUUGUAAACCAAGGAUUCAGAAAAUCCCUUAAAUGUACUAAUGGCUAAUUAAGAUGUUUCAGGUAUUUUUUUCCUGAUUAAAUUUGUAGUUAUAUUUGGAAGUGUUUAAAAAACCAUA